UAAAUUAAUUGAGUCUUGAAAUAAAGUCAUAAGAAAUAAUUUAUUAAAAAUGCAAUAAAAGGGAACACAAAACUGUUAUUUCCGAAUUUUCCGGGCGAAUUGAAUAUAACAAUAUUGUUUCUCAUAUUGAUAUGUAGUUUUUUUUUCAUAGGUAUCUCUAGUCAUUAACCGAAUAUCAGUUGACACUUGACUGCACUUGACUGUUGACAUAGGCAGUAUGGUCGAAGGACUAUAGCCUGUCCUCUAAGGACGAAUUAAAAAAAAAAUGGACACUGGGACAGUACUUGACAGCACUUGACAGCCUUAUCAGUAAAAAAUUCAAUUGCAAUAUUUUUAUUUUUAUCACAUUGUUAAAUUUACAUUUUGCUAUAAAUAUAUAACAUAAUACUUUAUGAUUUUUGAGGACCACAUUAAAUAUAAGUUUCCAUUAAUAUUUAAAGAUCUCUGUAGUUAAUAACAAUAACUAUAAAGUUAAUGAGAAAUGUCUAUAAAUUAUAUACCUCGAGUAACGCAGCUGGAUGCUGUCAGUCUAGAUAAUCAAGUG